rnacentral:rRNA from 1 species
AUGGAGUAUGAUGAGCAAUACACAAAGUAUAUCUGGAAGACCGGGCUUCUCCCUUUCAUCCCAAUCGUGUCUCGUUUGAUGCCAAAGAUGAACCCUUGUACGAUGACGACACUCAUUGACCAAUGGGGCCCUGAGACACAUCCUUUUCACUUUUAUGCUGGGGAGAUGACGAUCACUUUGCAGGAUGUUUCUCUGAUCACUGGACUUCCCAUCAAAGAAGAGCCUAUUUGUCUUAGCAUAGAUUCUGAGGGAUGGCAUGACAUUAUGGUUGGACUCAUCGGAGGGAGCCUGCAGUCAAAAAAAAGUCCGCCGAUGCAACUUAUCACUAGAUAG